UUGCACACUUUGGCAGCACAUAUACUAAAAUUGGAAUGAUACAGAGAUUAACAUGCCCCCUGCACAAGGAUGACAUGCAAAUUCAUGAAGCAUUCCAUAUUAAA
rnacentral:snRNA from 1 species